GAUCGCAGUACUGGAUCGUCCGUGGGAGACAGUUUGUGCGAAAGUUGAUCGGGAGGUGUUCUAUUUGUCGGAGAUUCGAAGGCAAACCCUAUCAAGCUCCACCACCACCUCCCCUACCCGAAUUUCGAGUACGAGAAACACCACCUUUCACAGCAACAGGAAUUGAUUUCCUUGGUCCGCUCUAUGUUCGAACACACGAGAAGAGCGAAAAGGUGUGGGUAUGCCUUUACACAUGUUGUGUAACGAGAGCAGUGCAUUUGGACAUUGUACCAACCCUGACAA